rnacentral:tRNA from 1 species
UAUGUUUUAGUAUAUGAUGUACGGAGGGUUUUGAGCCUUCAGGGGAUAGUUUAAUCUAUUAAGCAUAG